rnacentral:rRNA from 1 species
GAUGAACGCUGGCGGCGUGCCUAAUACAUGCAAGUCGAGCGAACGGACGAGAGGCUUGCUUCUCUGAUGUUAGCGGCGGACGGGUGAGUAACACGUGGAUAACCUACCUAUAAGACUGGGAUAACUUCGGGAAACCGGAGCUAAUACCGGAUAAUAUUUUGAACCGCAUGGUUCAAAAGUGAAAGACGGUCUUGCUGUCACUUAUAGAUGGAUCCGCGCUGCAUUAGCUAGUUGGUAAGGUAACGGCUUACCAAGGCAACGAUGCAUAGUCGACCUGAGAGGGUGAUCGGCCACACUGGAACUGAGACACGGUCCAGACUCCUACGGGAGGCAGCAGUAGGGAAUCUUCCGCAAUGGGCGAAAGCCUGACGGAGCAACGCCGCGUGAGUGAUGAAGGUCUUCGGAUCGUAAAACUCUGUUAUUAGGGAAGAACAUAUGUGUAAGUAACUGUGCACAUCUUGACGGUACCUAAUCAGAAAGCCACGGCUAACUACGUG